rnacentral:rRNA from 1 species
GACGAACGCUGGCGGCGUGCUUAACACAUGCAAGUCGAACGCUGAAGACCUGGCUUUUGUUGGGUUGGAUGAGUGGCGAACGGGUGAGUAACACGUGAGUAACCUGCCCUCUUCUUUGGGAUAACGCCCGGAAACGGGUGCUAAUACUGGAUAUUCACUGAUCUUCGCAUGGGGGUUGGUGGAAAGGUUUGUUCUGGUGGGGGAUGGGCUCGCGGCCUAUCAGCUUGUUGGUGGGGUGAUGGCCUACCAAGGCUUUGACGGGUAGCCGGCCUGGGAGGGUGACCGGUCACAUUGGGACUGAGAUACGGCCCAGACUCCUACGGGAGGCAGCAGUGGGGAAUAUUGCACAAUGGGCGAAAGCCUGAUGCAGCGACGCCGCGUGAGGGAUGGAGGCCUUCGGGUUGUAAACCUCUUUCGCUCAUGGUCAAGCCGCAACUGUGGGUUGUGGUGAGGGUAGUGGGUAAAGAAGCACCGGCUAACUACGUG